UUAUCUGUCUCCAGACAGUCUAGACUAGGUGCCAUCAAACUUGUUCUGUAAAAGGCCAGAUAAUAAACAUACUGGCCUUUGCAGGCCUUAUGGUUUCUGUUGCAAUGACUAGGCUUUACAUGUGAUUGGGUUUCAAUAAAACUUCAUUUUCAAAACCAGGCAGUAACCGGGAUUUGGGUCAUGGGUUUUGAUAAAUGCUAAGGGAAAUACUAUUUUUUCUUGGUCGCCCUCUUCAUCAUAAACCAGCAGACUAAAGAACAGAUUUCAGCCUCAUGGUACUAAUUUCUGGGCCCCUGAAGGUACAGUCCCUCUCUCCCAGGUUCUUGAUUAAAGAGACUGAAUCCCAUAUUCCAGAACCCUCCCUAGAUCUGGUGGACAUGGAAGAACCAUGAGUUCUGACUUAUGUUGCUGACUAUUAUGUGGGAACGCCUGAAUUCCUGUCUGAGUUUAGAGAAUUUGGAAAACAAACCUUGGUUGAUAAGAUAUAUGAAACAUACAUACACACACACACACACACACACACACACACACACACAAACACAUAAAUAAAUUAAGGAGGACGCUUUUGAGUGUUUAAAUUCUUAGGACUGCAGCAGCAAGUUUAGCAAAGAACACAGUAGGAGCUCGAUCCAGUUUGGCAAAGGGUCUGGCUAAGUCAAAACUGUGCAAUUAUCAUUCCUGGUUGUUGGGGUUUUAGAAUUCUCUAUUCAUGCUAAUGACAUUGCAAUGAACAAAACCACAUCAGUGAAGAACAGCAAAAGUCAAGGGUGGAGCAACGCAGCUUUAUUUCACAAGCCCCUCCUUGGGGAAGGCAUUAGAGCUACAGUUUGGAAGAGGUUUGCAUGGAAGAAAGGGAGAAACUGUGAACAGGGCUGGUUUGUCAAAGAAAGACAUAAACCAGUGGUGUGUGCCUGGGAACACUAUGGAUAUGAAACUUGUCUACUGUUCUCCCAUUAGCAUGCAGUCUUGCCUGAAAUAAACAAAGCACAUGUUUUGGAGUCCACAUUGUUUCUCCUGUCUUGCCUCUACUGUGCUGCAGGGAAGGAGGGUGCCUGGGAGACAGCAAGGCUCAUUCUACUGGAGGCUUUUAUGAUUUGGAUGGGGCUGCUGACCAAUAUGCCUGGAGAUACCCCAACUGUCCUCUACGACCAUUACUUCUACUGCAGAGGUCAAGUCUUUCCCAAAGAAACAGAACAAAGGACCAUCACUGGUUUUGUGUUCCCUUUGUUUUGUUUUUAAUAUAUAAUUUGUCUAGGAGGCAGAGAACCUGGGUUUGAGCCCCAACUCUGCACUCCCUCGCUGUGCAUCUUUAGGUGAGGUCAUAUCCCCUCUGUGGCUUCAGUUUCCAUAUUACUGGACUAAGUAGCAAUUUAUGAUCCACUACAGUUGUAAAAGCCAGGGAAUAUAUAAUUCUGUUGGUUAUAUGCCUCAUAUUGCACAUAUUAAAUAUGUGCAUAUAUGUGCCUCAUAUGCAUAUUGCAUAUAUUGCAUUAAAGAGCAUAAUACAGGGAUAUUUGACUAUUAUAAUAUACAAAUAAGACAAUGGAGGAAUUUGCCUCUAUCUUGUGGUGAAUACAGAGGUAAGAUGCCUGGGAAGACUGUCAAAAGAUUGGCAGUGAUUCAGUGAUUACCUCCUUGCAUCUCUCUCUCUAGAGGUAUCUAGUGUCCUUUCUAAAGAAAAUAAGGUCCCUUUCAUUAAAGAAGGUAUUAAAUCGAUGACAUAAGACUUGCAAAAGUGUAUCUGCAGUAUUUUCUAAUUCAUUCAUUUGUUCAUUCAUUAAACAAAUUUUGUUUAUGCCAAGCUCCACUGAGUCCUGCAGUAAGGGAACAGCAACAGGGGUGGACAUGGAUAGCGUAUGCCCUCGAGGAAUCUAUAAUGCAGUGCACUCAAGUGGCCCAGGGCACAUGGAGAGGCCAACAAUGGCAUCUAAUGUGUGCCAGGCAUGGACUAGCUUCUUUAUGUUUAUUUUCAUAUUUAAUCCUUAAAGAAUUCUGAUUUUAAAAUGAGAAAAAUGAGACUCUAAGAAAUUAAUUUGCCCCAGGUCACACCACUAGGAAACUGCAGAACCUUCAUCUUACUUAUUUCACUUCUCUUGCUUUGCUAAAUGCCACAAGUGUAGAGAUAAGGGAGUUCACAGGCAGGGUAUCUAGCUUAGAGGUCUUUAUGGGAGUAUUCACAGAGGAGCGCAGAGGCUGAAGGAUGGAUGAGAUGUCAUAUCAGGAAAUGGGGUUAGGAAAAGAGGGAAGGAGGAAUUCCAUUUUUAUAGGGUGUUGCAUGCAGCAAUCCACACUUAUCUAAAAAAAAAAUUUCAAAUGGUGAAAUUCUGGAUGCUGUAGAAAGUUGAAAGGGAAAAAUAUUCAGGGGUAAGGGGCAUUCAAGGAUUUCCCCAGUCCACACUGUCAUACCAUUCCUAAGCCAGCCCUAAGAAGACUGGCUGUGAAGGCCUCUCAGGGAUACGCCGUCCUCAGAAUGGACACAUGUGUGGUCAUCACUGCCUGAGCUGUGGGACUGUCCAGCUCUACCCCAGACUCGGAUGUCAGCCCAAAGAUAUUAAGCUGGGAAGUUGAUCAAGGGCAGUGUUGAGGAUAUUAGCAACCCAUCCAGCGGCCCAGAGCAAUUUAUGAGAAUUCUAAUUAGAUACAAGGACUUCUGUGACCACACAAACACUUUCUAUUCUGCCUGCCAGCACGGGGUCCCCUGCCGUCAAAAGCUAUCUUGUAUGCUUCAGUGGAAGAUACAAGGCCAACAAAAAAAGGACUCAGGAUGCCAACACUGACCCACUCAGAGGGAGAAAAGAGACAUUCAGAAUUGGUCAUGGCUUUCCGGGAAGAUCAUCUGGAGACACCCCCUGGACCAAUGGCAUUUUCUCUCCCAAGUCUUAUGCCUCCCGAUGGCCUCAAGAGAUGAAGCUGAAUAGAGACAUUUCCCAAACCCAAGUCUGACCAGGAAGGCAAUGAGCCAGAACAGAAAAUAUCGAUGAGAACCUAGAUGUUCUAUCAAACCAAACCCUUGCCAGGAAGAGGAACACAUUAGCACUUGAGAUGAGGACACUGAGGCCCAGAGAUCUCCGCCCAAUUUUUCCAGACCGGUCUGUCACUCACCAAAGCAGUGUGCCUUCAGGACACCAUUGCCGGGCUCCCCCAGUGCAAGGCCUCAGCUGGGAUGCAGGGUCAGAGAACUGGCUCUGCAUACUUUGUGGAAAGUUGGGAAAGUCUAAAUAUUUCUCUAAGCCUUGAUUUCCCCAUCUGACAGGAAGGAAAACAUAAUCUGUCUCCUAUGUUUAUGCACUGGUUGAAUGAAGUCCCAGCCAUGAAUUUGUUUGGUGAAUUGCAAAGCACUAUGCGAUGCUGUAUUUUCUUCACCACAACUCAUGCUCUGACAUAGGAACAGUAUUGGUUCUUUCUGGAAUGCUACUCUUUAUAGAGCUUCUUAGAUUGUACUUUUCAAGGGUUGAGGUCAGACCUAACCAUUCUGCUGCAGAUUUCACGAAGCAUAGCGUUUUUAUAAUAUUAGAAAGAUGGCUCAAAAAGGUUUUCUUUGUUCAGACUUUUCUUGAACAUUUACUAUGUGCUGGACACUGCACUCUUUGCCGGAAUAUCUCAUUUAAUCUUUACAGUGCAUUUCCAAGUGAAGGCAGCACAAUUAGUAUAAUUUUAUAAAAGUGGAAUACUGGAGUCUAAGAUGUUAAUAACUUGUCCAAGGUCCCAACACUGGAUGUCACUGGAGUGGGAAUUCGAAUCCAGGAUGCUUAUCCUUUAAGCACCCCAUCAUACUGUUAGUAGUGACGACAUCACGGAACUUGUCACACAGGAGGACUGAAAGACAGGGACUCUCAGGGGCCAGAAAACAUGAGAGUGAAAGAGAGAUUCCGAAAAACAUCGAGAUUUGUGAAAAUGCUAUUAUGUGUUAGAUAGAAUGCAGGGUACUUUCCAUAAGUCAACUUGGUUAUUUCUCAGAGGAAUUCCAGGAAAUAGGAUUUUACACAUGUGGGAAACAGGCUGAGAGAGGUUAUUUAAUUUGCCAAAGGUCACACAGCUGGUAUUAGAGACAGAAUAUUAAAGUAGGCGUUUCUUACCCCAAAAUCCACUCUCUGCACCAAGAGGCCACUCAGAAAAUAUAAAAAUAAGCAAAUCAAAUAAAUUGACUACGUAAGUUUGAAGGCUUCAAGAAAAUAUAAAUACUUCCACCCAGAAAUUCUAUGUCCUGGUUUCAUUCCUAGAAAACCACUUGUAGAGGUACACAGAGGACUCCCCAACGAUCCUUAACACAGCCAUAUGACUGAUAGCCCUCAUCCCACCCCCCCAAAAAAAGUCUAGUGAGAAGAAAAUGCUUAAAAAUAUUCUGAUGCAUGCAUAUCAUGGAGUUCUUUCCAGCAGUCAAAGAGAAUGAAGGCAAAAAAUGGAAAGCUCUCCAAAACAUAUCGUUCACUGAAAACCAAACUGUGACAUACUGCAUAGAGUUUGAUAGCAUUCCACAGAAUAAAAUUUU
rnacentral:lncRNA from 1 species